CCUACUCCUAGACAAUUUGCACAUAUGGCUGCUGUGUCCCAUGUGUAUUAGUAGGUCACAGAGGGGACAGAGGCUAUAUCUAUGCUCAGUGUUCUGACCUAUGAACAUCUGAAUGAUUAGCAUUCCCUGAUA
ensembl:snoRNA Gm25765 small nucleolar RNA SNORA17